CCUACGGGGGGCAGCAGUGGGGAAUAUUGGACAAUGGGCGAAAGCCUGAUCCAGCCAUGCCGCGUGUGUGAAGAAGGCCUUCGGGUUGUAAAGCACUUUCAGUGGGGAAGAAAGCCUUGGGGCUAAUACCCUCGAGGAAGGACAUCACCCACAGAAGAAGCACCGGCUAACUCCGUGCCAGCAGCCGCGGUAAUACGGAGGGUGCGAGCGUUAAUCGGAAUUACUGGGCGUAAAGCGCGCGUAGGCGGUCUGAUAAGCCGGUUGUGAAAGCCCCGGGCUCAACCUGGGAACGGCAUCCGGAACUGUCAGGCUAGAGUGCAGGAGAGGAAGGUAGAAUUCCCGGUGUAGCAGUGAAAUGCGUAGAGAUCGGGAGGAAUACCAGUGGCGAAGGCGGCCUUCUGGACUGACACUGACGCUGAGGUGCGAAAGCGUGGGUAGCGAACAGGAUUAGAUACCCUAGUAGUC
rnacentral:rRNA from 1 species